CUUUCCCUUCGGGGAAGAAGAGACAGGUGGUGCAUGGUUGUCGUCAGCUCGUGGCGAGAGAUGUUGGGUUAAGUCCCGCAACGAGCGCAACCCUUAUCUUUAGUUGCCAGCAUUUAGUUGGGCACUCUAGAGAGACUGCCGGGGACAAACCGGAGGAGGGGGGGGAUGACGUCAAAUCAUCCUGCCCCUUAUGUCUUGGGCUACACACGUGCUACAAUGGGUGAUACAAAGGGCUGCAACCCCGCGAGGGGAAGCCAAUCCCAAAAAGCCCCUCUCAGUUCGGAUUGUAGGCUGCACCUCCCCUACAUGAAGUCGGAAUCGCUAGUAAUCGCAGAUCAGCAUGCUGGGGAGAAUA
rnacentral:rRNA from 1 species